rnacentral:tRNA from 1 species
GGUUGUGGCUCAGUGGUAGAGCGCUUGCCUAGCAUGCAUGAGGCACUGGGUUCAAUCCCUGGAACCA